AAGCGACAAAUAAUGUUCUUCCAGGUGAAGGAUUUACCGCUGCACUAGUAAUUUGAGACAAAGGAUUUGCUUUAAUCUACUUGGAGAAAUAGUUUGUUGUUACUAUUAGAUCUUCCUUGUUUCAUAUAGCUGUCUUUCAUGGAUUGACAAGAUUAAUGCCCUAUUGUAUGAAAUGCUAUGCCCCAGUCAAAGUGCUAAGUUCCUCCACAUGUUGACCGUUUAUUGGCGCUUACCUCUGACAUUUCUCGCAAGCUUGGAUGUAACCUAUGAUCUUGUCCAUCUAGUUCUCUCUUAUACCGAUAGUAACAACUAUGUCUAGCUCUGGUUCAUGAAUGCUUGGGGUGGUGAGGUAUUCGAAAGGGAUUGUCCAUUCGCAUGAGUAAUCCAUGAUGGAUGUGAUGUUUGUUAAUGCAGCGGUAUGGCCAUUCUUAUUUUUUAGAAUUUCUUGGAUCUCGUAUUUUUCAAAUCCUUCGAGUAAUGCCUUGGACUUAGUCGAGCAAUGCCUUGGAUUGUGAGUUGCGUAGUCUCCCUUGACUUGGUUGACGAUCAACAUUAAAUCACAAUGGAUUGAAAGCUCUUUGACUUGGAACUCUAUUGCUACCCUAAGGCCGGAGAGUAGUGCGUCAUACUUUGUCUCAUUGUUGCUUGCCUGUAAUCUGAGGUUUAAGGCAUGCUCGAGUAUGUAUCCAUUCGACGUCAUCAAGACCAUUCUUACCCCUGUAUGCAUUGUAAUGUGGGAUUUUUCCUUAUGCUGACCUAAUUUCAAAAUAUCCAUAUGUUUAGGGCAUCAGGGGGGCAUGAGUCAUCCAGAAGGGUGAAAUCUGAACUUCUAGUUCAGGUAGAUGGGGUCAACAAUACUGGUACAAAUGAAGUAGUGAUGGUUUUGGCAGCUACUAACUUCCCAUGGGACAUAGAUGAGGCAUUCAGGUUGGUCCUCAUCUUGUUGUAUUUAAGUUUCAGACUCCUAACCGCUCUUCAAACUUUGAGUUGGAAAGAGUGGUAGGCUUAAAAAACACUUGACAAUGCCUGUUCAGUCUUGAUAUUUCUAACCUGAUGUUAUUCAUUCAUGAGGAGGCUGGAGAAACGUUUAUAUAUUCCCCUUCCAAAUUUUCAGAGCCGUAAAGCACUUAUUCGGAUAAAUAUGAAAACUGUCGAGGUGGCCCCUGACGUAGAUAUGAGAUUAAGAGCAUGUCCAAGGAUGAUAUUUCAAAGGAUCCUGUUGCCAUGUGUGACUUCGAAGAAGCCUUGGCAAAGGUCCAACGGAGUGUUUCUCAAGCUGAUAUUGAACGGCAUGAGAAAUGGAUUCACGAAUUCGGAUCAGCAUAAAGUUUAUCAACUCAUAUUGCGGGUGAUGGAUUGUUGCAGUGCAUGGUCGAGUUUCUGAGUGAUUGUCUUGUUGUCCUUGAUAUUCCCAUUUGAGUUUAGGUAGAAAUUAGUUGGUGUACCCCAGAGUGUUGGAAAGGUGUCAUAGUGUUGUGCUAUUUUGUAUCUGUAACCAACCGUGUAUGUGUAUAGAAUCUGCUUUUCGCAGAGCUUAUUUUAAUUUUUAUCCAUACUAAUACACUCCAAAUUUCAUUCAGUGAUUUAUAACUA